rnacentral:rRNA from 1 species
GAUGAACGCUGGCGGCGUGCUUAACACAUGCAAGUCGAACGGAAAGGCCCAAGCUUGCUUGGGUACUCGAGUGGCGAACGGGUGAGUAACACGUGGGUGAUCUGCCCUGCACUUCGGGAUAAGCCUGGGAAACUGGGUCUAAUACCGGAUAGGACCACAUUUUGGAUGGUGUGGUGGAAAGUUUUUCGGUGUGGGAUGAGCUCGCGGCCUAUCAGCUUGUUGGUGGGGUAAUGGCCUACCAAGGCGUCGACGGGUAGCCGGCCUGAGAGGGUGUACGGCCAGAUUGGGACUGAGAUACGGCCCAGACUCCUACGGGAGGCAGCAGUGGGGAAUAUUGCACAAUGGGCGCGAGCCUGAUGCAGCGACGCCGCGUGGGUGAUGACGGCCUGCGGGUUGUAAGCUCCUUUCGCUAGGGACGAAGCGUUAUGUGACGGUACCUGGAGAAGAAGCACCGGCUAACUACGUG